rnacentral:rRNA from 1 species
GAUGAACGCUAGCUACAGGCUUAACACAUGCAAGUCGAGGGACCGGCGCACGGGUGAGUAACACGUAUCCAACCUGCCCUUUACUCGGGGAUAGCCUUUCGAAAGAAAGAUUAAUACCCGAUAUAAAGGAUGGGGAUUCGUUCCAUUAGGUUGUUGGUGAGGUAACGGCCCACCAAGCCUUCGAUGGCUAGGGGUUCUGCUCGGAAUGUCCCCCACAUGGGAACUUAUACACGGUCCAAACUCCUACGGGAGGCAGCAGUGAGGAAUAUUGGUCAAUGUGCGUUAGCCUGAACCAGCCAAGUAGCGUGAAGGAUGAAGGCUUAUGGGUCGUAAACUUCUUUUAUAUAAGAAUAUGUAUUAUAUGAAUAAGGAUCGGCUAACUCCGUGCCAGCCGCCGCGGUAAUAC